rnacentral:lncRNA from 1 species
GUAAGUAUUUGAUGGGAAAGAGGUCUUAAAAAAGCUUCUGGUAUGACGUUUCUUUCCAGUGCCACCUGCACGCCUGUUGCUGUGGGAUUUGAACCUCCUCAAUCACUGACACUUGUGGAUUAUCUGUACUUAAGGCAAAGAGCCAACACAAGCCACAUCUUGUAUGCAGGCAUUCAGCAGUCUGACCCGUCUUACCGCCUCAUUUGUCAUCUCCCUUCACUGGCUGUGUGAGCGGUAGCUGACAGACGGGGUAUAAGCCUGGCCUGUCUGGUGUUGAGAGCCGGGCUUUCCACGCUGAAUAGAGAAACUAUGCACCAACGCCGGAGGAAAACAUGUAACGACACACACUGGCACACUCCCCCACUGAGAGCUGCCUUAGAGAGGUAUCCCAUAUCACUUUGCCCUGAGGCCUGAUACUGUACCUCCAGAAGACAACCAACCUGAGGCCUGAUACUUCCAGAAGACAACCAAGCUGAGGCCUGAUACCUCCAGAAGACAACCAACCUGAGGCCUGAUACUUCCAGAAGACAACCAACCUGAGGCCUGAUACUGUACCUCCAGAAGACAACCUGAGGCCUGAUACCUCCAGAAGACAACCAACCUGAGGCCUGAUACCUCCAGAAGACAACCAACCUGAGGCCUGAUACUUCCAGAAGACAACCUGAGGCCUGAUACUGUACCUCCAGAAGACAAUCUGAGGCCUGAUACUUCCAGAAGACAACCUGAGGCCUGAUAUGUACCUCCAGAAGACAACCAACCGGAGGCCUGAUACUUCCAGAAGACAACCAAGCUGAGGCCUGAUACCUCCAGAAGACAACCAACCUGAGGCCUGAUACCUCCAGAAGACAACCAACCUGAGGCCUGAUGCCUCCAGAAGAAAACCUGAGGCCUGAUACCUCCAGAAGACAACCUGAGGCCUGAUACCUCCAGAAGACAAC